rnacentral:snRNA from 1 species
GUGCUCGCUUCGGCAGCACAUAUACUAAAAUUGGAAUGAUACAGAGAAGAUUAGCAUGGCCCUUGCACAAGGAUGAUAUGCAAAUGUCAUCCUUGCAUGUCAUAUUU